rnacentral:piRNA from 1 species
UGAAAUUAUUGUAUUGGCAUCUUGUAAAUU